rnacentral:rRNA from 1 species
GACGAACGCUGGCGGCGUGCUUAACACAUGCAAGUCGAACGGAAAGGCCUGCUUUCCCUUGUGGAUUGCGGGUACUCGAGUGGCGAACGGGUGAGUAACACGUGAGUGAUCUGCCCCCAACUUGGUUAUAAGCCUGGGAAACUGGGUCUAAUUCCCGAUAGGACUGCAGGGUGGUGCCUGUGGUGGAAAACGAUUUUCUAGUGGUUGGUGAUGAGCUCGCGUCCUAUCAGCUUGUUGGUGGGGUAAUGGCCUACCAAGGCGGCGACGGGUAGCCGGCCUGGGAGGGUGGACGGCCAAAUUGGGACUGAGAUACGGCCAAGACUCCUACGGGAGGCAGCAGUGGGGAAUAUUGCACAAUGGGCGGAAGCCUGAUGCAGCGACGCCGCGUGGGGGAUGACGGCAUUCGGGUUGUAAACUCCUUUCGACCGAGAGGAAGCCACCUGGUUGGAAGGGUGGUGACGGUAGUGGUAGAAGAAGCACCGGCUAACUACGCG